rnacentral:rRNA from 1 species
UACGUAGGGGGCAAGCGUUGUCCGGAAUCAUUGGGCGUAAAGAGCUCGUAGGCGGCUCGUUGCGUCAGCUGUGAAAACCCGCAGCUCAACUGUGGGCUUGCAGCUGAUACGGGCGGGCUAGAAUUCGGUAGGGGAGACUGGAAUUCCUGGUGUAGCGGUGAAAUGCGCAGAUAUCAGGAGGAACACCGGUGGCGAAGGCGGGUCUCUGGGCCGAUAUUGACGCUGAGGAGCGAAAGCGUGGGGAGCGAACAGG